UACGAAGGGUGCAAGCGUUAAUCGGAAUUACUGGGCGUAAAGGGUGCGUAGGCGGUCGGGAAAGUUUGAUGUGAAAGCUCCGGGCUCAACCUGGAAAUGGCAUUGAAAACUAUUCGACUAGAGGAUUGUAAGGGAGACUGGAAUUCUCGGUGUAGCAGUGAAAUGCGUAGAUAUCGAGAGGAACACCAGUGGCGAAGGCGAGUCUCUGGACAAUUCCUGACGCUGAGGCACGAAAGCUAGGGGAGCAAACAGG
rnacentral:rRNA from 1 species